UCCACCUCCACUCUCAGCCCUUCAUAAAGAAAAGAUCCAUACAAUUGAACAACUUCCUGCUUUGACCGAUUCCCAGCUCUCGUUAUUAUUUGGACAGCAGGAGAUCUGAGCCGCGCCCCUACACUCAUCAUUCCACUCAGCCCUGAGAGACUCGGCUGGACCAGGUUCUCUCUCUCACCAGGAUCCUCCACCAGAGAGCCCGACACUCUUCCACCCACCAGGAAAAUCUGGAGACAAUGGCUACGUUUGAGAAUGUCACCCAGACCCUGGUUAGACAGUUGAACCCUGGAGGGGAUCUGAUACCCCUAGACAGUCUCAUCGACUUCAAACGCUUCCGUCCCUUCUGCCUGUUGAGGAAGAGGAAGAGCACACUGUCCUGGGGAGCCCACUAUGUCUACACCGACUACACUCUCCUGGAUGUGCUGGAGCCUGGCAGUUCUCCCUCAGAUCUGACAGACGGUGGGAACUUUGGCUUUAAGAAUAAUCUGGAUACCAAAGUAGAGGUAGAUGUGGACGUGCCAAAGACAAUGAAGGUAAAGGGGACCAAGGGCCUGUCACACAGCAGCACACUGAAGGUGCAGACAAUCAACGUGACUCGCUCGAUUCUGAACACCUUGCAAAAUGAGAGGAAACUGUCAGCAGACCACCCGUUCCUGAAGGAGAUGCAGGAACUCGGGGAAAACCUGUACGUGGUGAUGGAGGCGGUAAAAACCAAGGAGGAAGUCACUCUGGAGCAAGCUGCCAAGGGAGCAGGCUUAUUAUCUCUCCCCUUCUAUGCCACACUGGGACUAAAGGCAUCCGUGAACCACGAGAAGAAUUUAACCAUCCCUAAGGGCUGUGUCCUGGCCUAUCGAGUGAGACAACUGAUAGUCAUUGGGGAAGAUGAGUGGGAGAUUCCACACAAUUACAAGGACAGCAUGAAAACCUUUUCUAGUCCUAAGAUCACGCCCAGGUGUGCUGUCCGCCGCACCAAGAAGUUAACUGGUGUUCUUUUUGGGUUUUCAGAAAAGCCAGGAGAAAAGAAGCUCAUAGGAGAGAUGAAGAAAGACAUCAAGACAUUAAAGGAAGAGGUUCAGCAAGAGACUCAAGCACUGGAGAAGUUGAGUCCUGUGGGGCAAAGCUCCCUACUCACUUCCCUCAGCCAUCUCCUAGGAAAGAAAAAAGAGCUCCAGGACCUUGAGAAGAUGCUUGCAGGGGUUCUAGACAAGGGACGGGAAGUGACCCUGGAAGCACUCCCCAAAGAUGUCCUGCUGUCAAAGGACGAUAUGGACUCCCACCUCUACUUCCUUGGUGCUCUGACAGAGCUAAGGGAAGCCCUACAGAGGCUUCUUGUAAUAACCUUGGAGAAAAAUAUCCUUCUAGUGCAAAUAAAGCUGGUUGUGAACCUCCUCGUUCCCCCGAAUAACUUGACCUGCGGGCCAGGUCAGAUGGCACCCAAAGUGGGGCUCGAGGCACGGGUCACCCCCAGGACAGAUUAAGGAUCGCUAUCGUCUGGAUUUCAUGACAGUUCCCAAUCGUUGUCCGGAACCCAUCAUUAGAUAUCAAAGAGCACCUGAGACAGCUAGAGAAGGCUGUUUCUGGCAAGGAGCCACAAUUCGUGCUCAGGGCGCUGCGGAUGCUGACUUCCACGUCACGCUGCCUCAAGCACUAUGUUGUGUACAAGGCCGUGCAUGGCUUCUUCACCUCCAAUAACACCACUCGAGACUUCCUGCUACCCUUCCUAGAAGAACCCAUGGACACAGAAGCCGACCUGCAGUUCCGUCCUCACACAGGAAAAACUGCAUUAGCACCACUCCUGCCUGAGGUGGAAGCCUAUCUCCAGCUGCUCAUGGUCAUCUUCCUGAUGAACAGCAAGCACUACAAAGAGGUACCCAGGAUGCAGUGGAAGUGAUUAGCAAGCCCCAGGGGCUCUAGGGGUGAUGGUCUCCAGUGAAGAAGUAGAGGUGGUCACUAUGAACUCUUGCUUUCCAUCUUCCCAAGCCAGGUUUGGUGGUGCAGGUCUGUGACCCCAAUACUCAAAGGCUGGGAAGAAUACAAAUUCAAGUCCAGUCUAGGCUGCAUAGUGAGAUCAUAUCUCACAUUUGCACAC